GGAAGUAAAAGUCGUAACAAGGUCUCCGUUGGUGAACCAGCGGAGGGAUCAUUACUGAGUUUACGCUCUACAACCCUUUGUGAACAUACCUAUAACUGUUGCUUCGGCGGGUAGGGUCUCCGUGACCCUCCCGGCCUCCCGCCCCCGGGCGGGUCGGCGCCCGCCGGAGGAUAACCAAACUCUGAUUUAACGACGUUUCUUCUGAGUGGUACAAGCAAAUAAUCAAAACUUUUAGCAACGGAUCUCUUGGUUCUGGCAUCGAUGAAGAACGCAGCGAAAUGCGAUAAGUAAUGUGAAUUGCAGAAUUCAGUGAAUCAUCGAAUCUUUGAACGCACAUUGCGCCCGCCAGCAUUCUGGCGGGCAUGCCUGUUCGAGCGUCAUUUCAACCCUCAAGCUCUGCUUGGUGUUGGGGCCCUACAGCUGAUGUAGGCCCUCAAAGGUAGUGGCGGACCCUCCCGGAGCCUCCUUUGCGUAGUAACUUUACGUCUCGCACUGGGAUCCGGAGGGACUCUUGCCGUAAAACCCCCAAUUUUCCAAAGGUUGACCUCGGAUCAGGUAGGAAUACCCGCUGAACUUAAGCAUAUCAAUAAGCGGAGGA
rnacentral:rRNA from 1 species